GACGUAGGGCGCGAGCGUUGUCCGGAUUUAUUGGGCGUAAAGAGCUCGUAGGCGGCUUGUCGCGUCGUCCGUGAAAACUUGGGGCUCAACCCCAAGCUUGCGGUCGAUACGGGCAGGCUAGAGUUCGGUAGGGGAGACUGGAAUUCCUGGUGUAGCGGUGAAAUGCGCAGAUAUCAGGAAGAACACCCGUGGCGAAGGCGGCUCUCUGGGACGGUACUGACGCUGAGACGCGAAAGCGUGGGGAGCGAACAGG
rnacentral:rRNA from 1 species